rnacentral:ncRNA from 1 species
GAUAGAGGUGCGGGAAUGGCGUGUAGAUGGGAAGAGGCGGCCAACGCUGAUGAAACUCAUUGAAGAGCCUUGCCGCCGAAAAGAGAAGCGUGGCGGUUUCUGCUUUGGGGGUACACUCGAGGAGGGUACCACUGUCAUCAUAAGAGGCUAUGGUGGAGUGCUAUCGGU